rnacentral:rRNA from 1 species
CAGCCGCCGCGGUAAUACGUAGGUGGCAAGCGUUGUCCGGAAUCAUUGGGCGUAAAGGGCUCGCAGGCGGUUUCUUAAGUCUGAUGUGAAAGCCCCCGGCUCAACCGGGGAGGGUCAUUGGAAACUGGGAAACUUGAGUGCAGAAGAGGAGAGUGGAAUUCCACGUGUAGCGGUGAAACGCGUAGAGAUGUGGAGGAACACCAGUGGCGAAGGCGACUCUCUGGUCUGUAACUGACGCUGAGGAGCGAAAGCGUGGGGAGCGAACAGGAUUAGAUACCCCCGUAGUCCCUGUCUCUUAUAC